UAGUAACUGAAGAUCUAACAAAAGCAAAAGUAAAAGAAAGAAAAGUCACUUUGACAUUGAGUCAUGGCAAGUACUUCUCCCUGCCUUUCAGAGCCACAUUUUGGAGAAAGCUUCCUGACUGGAAUAAUAAAUUGUGCUUGAAAAACAUAGAAAUAGAGGAGAGGGCAAGGUUACUUCUGAAAUGGAAAACUAAGUGGCACAUGGUUUGAAAACUCUCAGAAUCACUGGCAUUCCUUGGUCAAGCUGAGUGGAACAAAUCACUCCCCAAACAAAAUUUUUCGGGUUAAUGCCGGGCAACUUGUCUCAAAAAGGAAGUUUUGACUCUAUAGAGCCAGUGGAUGUGGACCAUGGACUUAGGAAGAGAUUUGGACACAAAGCAGAGAACACCGAAGAGCUGCUCAUUUGCACUGAAGUGGUUUGCUGGCUUUCUGCCUAGAUCUGACAUCUCUUCAAAUGGACAGUCCCAACUCUCUCUCAAUUCUCUUCCCCCUUCUCUAAGAAGAAACAGACCCAGAAGUUUCAGUAAGUUGCUCCAUCACAUUGCCAGGGCAGAUUCUGAAACUCACUCUAAAGCAUCAAGACAAUCUUCCCUGUGCAGAUCUAGACCAGUGUCUGGAACAUAGUGGGUACAAUAAAGAGUAAACAAGUGAGUAAUUUUUAUUCCAAGUGACUUCUCUGUAUUGCCAAAAAUGAAAUCUGCAUAAGAAAGUUCAUCACUAUUGAAGAAAGACAAAAAACUUCAACAUUUAUUGAUUAUCUGUAGUGUCCAGUAUAUUAACCAAUGAUGUUAUACUUUAUAUUUUUUGUUCCAGAAUAGCUGUGUUCAGACUGUAGCAUAAGAAGCCCUGUGGAUUAUUAAAGAUAUGGUAAAAUAAUUCCAUUCCAAAAUAUAAUUUCUGAACGAACUUGGGAAUAAAUGCAUGGUUUUCCACAAUGAUGACUUCAAAGGAAAUGGUGCUCACUUGGAUCUUUGAUGGGACCUCUCUCUGUUGCCCAGGCUGACUUUGAACUCCUGGGCUAAGGGAUUCUGCCACCUAAGCCCCCUACGUAGCUGGGAUUACUGGAGUGUGCUACUGUGCUUGGCCAUGGAUCUUUUAACAUUUUAUAUACUAAAAGAGAAACAUUUUUAUGGCUUCAGUUCACAUACUUCUAUUUGUAUUACUGUAAGCAGAUUACUGUGUUUGGAAAGGUCAAUUCUCAAGGCUUCUCUUUCUACUUAGCAAUUAGUUCCAUGCUUUAUAUGUGCAAUGUAAACUGUGUAUCAGUUACCUGGAAUAUUUUUGUUUUGAAGUGUUUUCCUUUUUGUUUCAUCUAAAGAAAUGCUCAUAACCCAUUUUAUUAGACUCA
rnacentral:lncRNA from 10 species